UUCGCUGCUUUUCUGCAAACACGACCAAGAAUCUGUCUUGAGAUCUUCAACUGAUGGCUGCUCUGCAGCAGGGCCUGACCUUUCCCCACACUGACAGCUUCUUGUCAUGUUCUAAUUGGAAAUUCUCAUUUUGUUUGUGUAGCACUGGAAUUGCAAACAUCUUACUUAUUCAAACUUUCUAAACUGUUGUCACCUUCUGAAGUGUUUUGUCUGGAGGAAACAUUGAGGUUUAUUUUCUUUGUAAUCCACUUAAUGAUGAAGGAACACAAACAGGUGGUUUUCAGAGAUUUUUAAAUGCAAGAUGCAUAUGUCUUGCUGUCAUAACAGUUUGUCUCAUUAUAUGGAAUAAAAUUCAAGGAAGUUGAUGUAUUGCUUACAAAGGAAGCAACAACAGUAUCAAGUGAUGCAGUCCUGUUCAGUAAUAUUGUUAUAACUUCAGGAAUUUGGUUGCCUGAAUAUCUAAAAUUUCAACUGAGGCCAACACAAUAAUAAUAGUAUUAAUUAUUUUGUUAUAAAACAAGCAGCGUCUCUGUGCCUUUUGUAUCUUUUUAUUGUUUUAUAGCCUUAAACAUCUAUUUACUAAUGCUUUGUGCUUUAUGAGGUUGAAAAUAUAAUGUUCCUUUUCUCUUUGUUUACUUCAGCUUUUUCUGUUUGUUUUCUGCUCACUGAUCUAUUUUUUUCUUUUUUUCCUUUCACCCUGAGACUUUCCAAUACUUCAAGUCACAUAGAUCACCUGGAUUAUCACAUAUAUCAUCUGCACUUCUCUUCAAAAUUCAGCUUCAUCUGAAAACAGCAGUAAAAGAAUCAUCCAUGGCCUUUGAGGUGUUCUGCCUUUGCUGAAUCAUGAAGCUUUAAAGCAUGCUCUCAGGGGCAGCUCUCAUACCUGCCUGAACCCCCAGGUUUGCAAACAGGUUUUUGCAUAAUUUUAUUCAUUUGUUGUACAGGUGCAGGUGUGAGUGCAUGGUGGGGCAGGCCGGUGGGCACUGGCAGUCCUGCAGGAGAUGGGUGACAUGGGCAGCUCUCCCUCAGCCUCGUACAGCUUUGGAGCAGGAGGUGAGGCUCAUCAGGCACCUUCUGUGGAGCCUGGCUCAGCACCCAGGCAGAUGCCUGUACAGACCUUGGUACAGAGGGUGGGAGCCUGGCUGGAUACCACUGGGAAGCAUCACCCCUGCCCUGUGCAGUCAUGAUACCACAAGGCUUCCAGCUACCUACCAGCACUGCUUGAACAAUGCAAGCACUCAUCUCUUGUGGUAAGAUAACUCACAAGCACAAAGGUAAGAAAAUACAAUACCAAGAUAUGCAGCAGGGAGACUGGCAUGGCUGGGUAUAAAGUGGUUUAGAAGUCCCGAGUGUACAAGGCUCAGAUGAACAAUGUAUUAGGCAAAUGUGUUAAAGGGAGUUUCUGCAGUGCAACUUAGACUUCACCUAGUCUAAUAGUGAAAAGCAAAUGCUGCAUACAAAUGGGGUUUUUGCCUUCUUUACCCUGUGAAUACCCUAAAAUGUCUUUACAUGGAAGUGAAAAUAAUCCAUGGUGCCUUAGCACCCAAACCCUGCUCUUUCUGCACAGUGUAGGGAAGUGUGUUCCUGCUCGGUACUCACCUGAGUACGUGUGCUGUGUGCAUCCGUAGCAUUACAGUGUGAGUCCUGCCAUCGGUGCAGAAACACGUGCUGCUCUGAACAAGGAGCAGUAAAGUUGCUGUGGCUGAUGUUAUUUGUCUUUUGCAGGCCAUGUAGGUGAUUUCUUCCCAUGACUUCUGGGUAAAGAAUGAAGGUGCAACUUCUGUGACAGCAAGGGUGAAAAGGCAGGCAGUAAUGCUACCUGCUGGCUGUAAUAUUGAUUUGAAGCCUUGCUGCAAGUUCAGAGGUCUUACUCAAGCAUAAACACAAAAGAAUGAUUGUUUGAAAUUUAGUAAGUGGUAAUAACAGAGCUAUUGCAAAGGCAACCAGCUUGACAGACCCUCAGCCUGCCCAUAAUAUCCUACAACUCUGUCAGAGAAACCUGUCUGAUGAGUGGCUCCCACAGCCUGAGGAGAACAGCUGGAAAUGAAAGGCUUUUCAGAGGCUUAUGUUGAGAGGAGAGAAAGAGGAAGAGGAGACCUGAAGCAGCACCUCUCUCUGCAUCCCUGGUUUUGUCUUUUGGCUGGACCAUGGUGGGUCUGGAGAGGGGUUACUUAUGCCAGAGGCCUCAGGAGGUCCCUCGAUGAACUCCAGACUGAGUUAGAGCACUGCUGAACAACAACAACA